rnacentral:rRNA from 1 species
CAGUAGCCGCGGUAAGACAGAGGAUGCAAGCGUUAUCCAAAAUGAUUGGGUGUAAAGCGUCUGUAGGUGGCUUUUCAAGUCCGCCGUCAAAUCCCAGGGCUCAACCCUGGACAGGCGGUGGAGACUACCAAGCUGGAGUACGGUAGGGGCAGAGGGAAUUUCCGGUGUAGCGGUGAAAUGCGUAGAUAUCGGAAGGAACACCUGUGGCGAAAGCGGCUCACUGGACCAUUUCUGACGCUGAUGCACGAAAGCUAGGGGAGCAAACAGGAUUAGAUACCCGGGUAGUCCCUGUCUCUUAUAC